AUUGAACGCUGGCGGCAUGCCUUACACAUGCAAGUCGAACGGCAGCACGGGAGCAAUCCUGGUGGCGAGUGGCGAACGGGUGAGUAAUAUAUCGGAACGUGCCCGGUCGUGGGGAUAACGUAGCGAAAGCUACGCUAAUACCGCAUACGAUCUACGGAUGAAAGCGGGGGAUCGCAAGACCUCGCGCGAUUGGAGCGGCCGAUAUCAGAUUAGGUAGUUGGUGAGGUAAAGGCUCACCAAGCCGACGAUCUGUAGCUGGUCUGAGAGGACGACCAGCCACACUGGGACUGAGACACGGCCCAGACUCCUACGGGAGGCAGCAGUGAGGAAUAUUGGACAAUGGGCGCAAGCCUGAUCCAGCCAUGCCGCGUGCAGGAUGACGGUCCUAUGGAUUGUAAACUGCUUUUGUACAGGAAGAAACACUACUUCGUGAAGUAGCUUGACGGUACUGUAAGAAUAAGGAUCGGCU
rnacentral:rRNA from 1 species